AAAAACAGACAUGAAGAGAUGAGGAAAAAAGAUAUUAAAAGAAGAGAAAAAAGGAGAGGAGAGGAGAGGAGGUGGAGGGCAAUAUGAAGAGUGAACCGUCGCUGUCAAGAAGACAAUCAUCAGUUUAUUUCAUAUCGUAUAAAUGAUGUACAUGAAUAAUCCAUCUGUUCACGUUUAUUCACUGGAAAUUGAACAGUUUUUCUCCCUUGUUUGCAUUUUUUAGAGAGAGAAGAGGAGAAGACACGACUGAAGUAGAGUGAGGACUGAGACAAGAAGAAAGAAGAGAAAUAUCAGAGUGGAGGAGAGGAGGGGAGGUGGGAGGAUAAUAUGAUGUGUAAACCCUCUCAUGUAAAAGAGGAAAAACAAUUACAGAAGAAAAGAGACAUGAAGAGAUGAGGAAAAAAGACAAUAAAAAAAGGAGAGGACAGGACGUGGCAUUUUGAAGAAUGAGUAUUCACAUAUAAAAGCCAAGAAAAUUCUGAACUGCCCUUUUCACAAACUUCAAGUGAAUCAUGUUUCUACAAAGAUUUUUGUCAUGAUCAAACUGUUCAAAAACAAGGGUUUGAAAUACAAAGU